rnacentral:lncRNA from 10 species
GUUUGUGUCUCUAUAGACGUGGAGAGAACAGGAACACAUGUUUUCUGUACUACAUGGCUAAUGCAGGAUACAGGGCUGCAGUUGUUGGGUGAAGCUUUGCCCGAAAGUUGAGAAAUGGGUGCAGCGCAAGGAUGCAGAACAGGAGUCGCAGACCAAAGCAGAGAUCCAGGAUAUGAAGCAAGAGUUAUCCGCGGUCAAUAUGAUGGACAAGUUUGCCAGAUCUGCCAGGCUGGAAAGAAAGAUCAACAAGAUGAUGAAUAAGCUCAAAACUCAUGUGAAAGUACAGACAGCUCAAUCAGGAAUGCUAAAAUGGGUUAUAAGUGUUGCUUUCUACAAAUUGCCAGGUACCGUGAUCAGGCUAUAAGGCAGUCUUGUGGGGUUAUCCAUUACUUGACAGGGUCUCGCUCUGUUGCCCAGGCUGGAGUGCAGUGGGCCAUCUAGGCUCACUGUAGCCUCUGCCACCCGGGUUCAAGUGACCUUCCCACUUCAGCCUCACAAGUAGCUGGCACUAAAAGUGCUUGCCACCAUACCCGGAUAAUUUUCAUAUUUUUUGUAAAGACAGGGUCUCACCAUGUUGCCCAGACUGGUCGCGUUUUCUUCCUCUGUUUAAAAUGGCAUUUGUUGGACAAGCAUUUGUAUAGUACUAUGUACUUACUUGAAGCUGUUAAUUUUUCAUUACAAUGUUUUGUAAAUUUCUUCAUGAGGCCAUAAUGCAUUGUUUUGUGCUCAAAUUUUGCAUUGUAUUUAAAGCAUUCA